rnacentral:rRNA from 1 species
UACGAAGGGGGCUAGCGUUGCUCGGAAUUACUGGGCGUAAAGGGCGCGUAGGCGGAUACUUAAGUUGGGGGUGAAAGCCCAGGGCUCAACCCUGGAAUAGCCUUCAAUACUGGGUAUCUUGAGUUCGGGAGAGGCGAGUGGAACUCCGAGUGUAGAGGUGAAAUUCGUAGAUAUUCGGAAGAACACCAGUGGCGAAGGCGACUCACUGGCCCGAUACUGACGCUGAGGCGCGAAAGCGUGGGGAGCAAACAGG